rnacentral:rRNA from 1 species
GAUCGGAGUGCUUGCACUCUGUGAAACAAGAUACAGGCUAGCGGCGGACGGGUGAGUAACACGUGGGUAACCUGCCCAAGAGAUCGGGAUAACACCUGGAAACAGAUGCUAAUACCGGAUAACAACAGAUGAUGCCUAUCAACUGUUUAAAAGAUGGUUCUGCUAUCACUCUUGGAUGGACCUGCGGUGCAUUAGCUAGUUGGUAGGGUAACGGCCUACCAAGGCGAUGAUGCAUAGCCGAGUUGAGAGACUGAUCGGCCACAUUGGGACUGAGACACGGCCCAAACUCCUACGGGAGGCAGCAGUAGGGAAUCUUCCACAAUGGACGCAAGUCUGAUGGAGCAACGCCGCGUGAGUGAAGAAGGGUUUCGGCUCGUAAAGCUCUGUUGUUGGUGAAGAAGGACAGGGGUAGUAACUGACCUUUGUUUGACGGUAAUCAAUUAGAAAGUCACGGCUAACUACGUGCCAGCAGCCGCGGUAAUACGUAGGUGGCAAGCGUUGUCCGGAUUUAUUGGGCGUAAAGCGAGUGCAGGCGGCUCGAUAAGUCUGAUGUGAAAGCCUUCGGCUCAACCGGAGAAUUGCAUCAGAAACUGUCGAGCUUGAGUACAGAAGAGGAGAGUGGAACUCCAUGUGU